GGAGUCGGUCAAUUUUCAAAUGAUACUCAUGAAGAAAACUAAAAGGAAUUCUUAAUUAGACAUCCUACAAAUACUCCUGUUCCCCGCCACAUGAUGGUAAAAGAGUCUUCAAGUGCAUUGCAUGGUGUUACAGGUCAAUGGAUGAUAUCACUGCUUUCCACUACAAAUUCUAUUACAAAGGGAUUGUGGACCAUGGAGUGACAUGUUAGCAGGCUAUUGCGAGAGACUACUCUUAGAAAUUUGACAAUUACUUUUACAGUGACUAGCUUGUUCUACCAUAGAAGUCCCAAAUCCAAGUCUGAACUCAGUUGUAGAACAAAAAUAUGAAUCCUAAUAACCUGGUACGUAAACUUCAUGCCAGCUAUUUGAAUCUCAU
rnacentral:misc_RNA from 1 species